UACAGAGGCCCCAAGCAUUAUCCGGAAUUACUGGGCGUAAAGGGUGUGUAGGCGGUUUUGUUAGUCUCUUGUGAAAGGCUUUGGGCUUAACCCAGAGACCGCGGGGGAAACGGCAAGACUCGAGGAUGCGAGAGGUAAAGGGAACUCAUGGUGUAGGGGUGAAAUCCGUUGAUAUCAUGGGGAACACCAAAUGCGAAGGCACUUUACUGGCGCACUCCUGACGCUGAGACACGAAAGCGUGGGUAGCGAACGGG
rnacentral:misc_RNA from 1 species